AGUGAACGCUGGCGGUAGGCCUAACACAUGCAAGUCGAACGGCAGCACAGUAAGAGCUUGCUCUUACGGGUGGCGAGUGGCGGACGGGUGAGGAAUACAUCGGACUCUACUUUUUCGUGGGGGAUAACGUAGGGAAACUUACGCUAAUACCGCAUACGACCUACGGGUGAAAGCAGGGGAUCUUCGGACCUUGCGCGAUUGAAUGAGCCGAUGUCGGAUUAGCUAGUUGGCGGGGUAAAGGCCCACCAAGGCGACGAUCCGUAGCUGGUCUGAGAGGAUGAUCAGCGACACUGGAACGGAGACAGGGUCCAGACUCCUAAGGGAGGCAGCAGUGGGGAAUAUUGGACAAUGGGGGCAAGCAUGAUCCAGCCAGACCGCGUGGGUGAAGAAGGCCUUCGGGUUGUAAAGACCUUUUGUUGGGAAAGAAAAGCAGCAGGUUAAUACCCCGCUGUUCUGACGGUACCCAAAGAAUAAGCACCGGCUAACUUCGUG
rnacentral:rRNA from 1 species